rnacentral:rRNA from 1 species
UACGAAGGGGGCUAGCGUUGCUCGGAAUCACUGGGCGUAAAGCGCACGUAGGCGGCUUACUAAGUCAGGGGUGAAAUCCUGGAGCUCAACUCCAGAACUGCCCUUGAUACUGGUGAGCUUGAGUCCGGAAGAGGUGAGUGGAACUGCGAGUGUAGAGGUGAAAUUCGUAGAUAUUCGCAAGAACACCAGUGGCGAAGGCGGCUCACUGGUCCGGUACUGACGCUGAGGUGCGAAAGCGUGGGGAGCAAACAGG